rnacentral:tRNA from 1 species
CCGUCCGUAGUUCAGCUGGAUAGAACGUCGCCCUCCGGAGGCGAAGGUCAGGGGUUCGAAUCCCUUCGGGCGGG